rnacentral:rRNA from 1 species
UCGAGAAUUUUUCUCAAUGGGGGAAACCCUGAAGGAGCGACGCCGCGUGAAGGAUGAAGGUCUUCGGAUUGUAAACUUCUGUCAUUUGAGAACAAACUGCACGGGUUAACUGCCUGUGCACUGAUAGUAUCAGAAGAGGAAGAGACGGCUAACUCUGUGCCAGCAGCCGCGGUAAUACAGAGGUCUCGAGCGUUGUUCGGAUUCAUUGGGCGUAAAGGGUGCGUAGGUGGCGUGGUAAGUCGGAUGUGAAAUCCCGGAGCUCAACUCCGGAACUGCAUUCGAUACUGCUAUGCUAGAGUACUGGAGAGGAGAUCGGAAUUUACGGUGUAGCAGUGAAAUGCGUAGAUAUCGUAAGGAAGACCAGUGGCGAAGGCGGAUCCCUGGACAGUUACUGACACUGAGGCACGAAGGCCAGGGGAGCAAACGGG